ensembl:lncRNA
CUCACCACGGGGCUGUGCUCCUUUGAGGCAGGACCAGCCCCACACAAAUCACAGCCUCCCCCACACCUCACACUGCCGGGCACUAAUCUAAACUCAAUGUGUGCAUAUUUUAGGGAAUAUUAGGCACUAUAUUACCCGGGGGUUUAGUUGACACUUUACUCCCCUCAGUGACUGUAAAUCCACCCAUUCUAAUGGCACUGUUCUUAGCUAUUCAGGAUGAAACACCCACUCCUCUCCUGAAACCUUCCGUCCCUCAUCCUGACUCGCAGUUCACAGAGGAAAGUGCCAUACCCGAGGCCCUCUGUCAAUUACAAGGCUAAAAUGCACUAAAAGAAUCACCAAUGAUGGCAGGGCACAGUGGCUCAUGCCUGUAAUCCCAGCACUUUGGGAGGCCAAGGCGGGUGGAUCACCUGAGGUCAGGAGUUUGAGACCAGUCUGGCCAACAUGGUGAAACCCCGUCUCUACUAAAAACACAAAAAUUAGCCGGCCAUGGUGGUGGGCGCCUGUAAUCCCAGCUACUUGGGAGGCUGAGGCAAGAGAAUCACUUGAACCCUGGGGGUGGAGGUUGCAGUGAGCCGAGAUCACACCCCUGCACUCCAGUCUGGGCGACAGAGACUCCAAUUCAACAACAACAACAAAAAACACCAAGGAGAAAUGUUCCACACAAAGGAGGAGAAAGAAUGGGAAUGCAGAAUUCCACUGGGGCUCCUCUAUCCUGUUGGGGUGCCUUAUCACGCACUGACACAGAGGGGCUGACCUCCCCUCUCCCUGCUCCCGCCGCGCGUGGGCACCUGGCCUGGGCGUGGCCUCCAGGGCCUCUCAGCUAGACUACAAAGCUGUUGAAUACAGAGAAUGAAGAGCACAGUGCUCACAGGGCAGUGCCCAGCAGUGGCCUCAGAAGCACUGACCGGCUGCUGGGCCUCCUGUUCCUGGGCUCUCCAGGAGACUUUGGGUCCUAACCAUUUUCCAAACCUAAGCCUCCCAUUUCCCAGGACUCUAUGAGCCCCUCGUAUCUUUCCAAUACGUUUCUUUUUUCUUUGUAACAGAUUCGGUUUUCAUUACUUGUCACUGAAAAGUUCCUAGCUGAUAUGAAAUUCGGUACCAGGAGUGGGUAUUGCAAAUUAUGGAGAAGAGGGGAGAUAAGGAACGUCUGCGGUUGGUUAUCUGCCUUAGAGAGGAGAGAAAAGAGCAAAUGUUCUGAUGAUAUGCAGAGACAGGGACGGAGCAGCCCAGGAAGUUCGGUAAUUAGUUCGCCAAGAGGUGCCUGGGAUGUCAUGCCCGCUGCAAGCCCGGCUCUUGGAGACUGUUGCUUCCAUCCUGAGAUCGUAUGGCUACGAGAAAUCUGAGGCCAUAGGCGGGUGACUGCUUUUAAUGGCGCUGAAAAACUUAGAGAAUUAGAAGUUCAAAUCUCUAAAGUCUGAAUUCAAGCCACAGACUGAAACCUAAAGACUUCCUAGAACAACACGGAAUUUCAUCCCUUACAGAUGCAAGGCCAGGAUGUCUGAAAACCCGUCUUAAGAGUCUGAGCCUUUGGCUGGGUGCGGUGGUUCAUGCCUGUAAUCCCAACACUGUGGGAGGCCAAGGCAGGUGGAUCGCUUAAGUCCAGGAGUUCAAGACCAGCCCAAACGACAUGGUGAAAAACCCUGUCUCUACAAAAAACACGAAAACUAUCCAGGUGUGGUGGCAUAUGCCUGUAGUCCCAGCUACUCAAGAGGCUGAGGUGGGAGAAUUGCUUGAGCCCAGGAGGUAGCAGUGAGCCGAGAUCAUGCCAUAUAGCACUCCAGCCCG